rnacentral:rRNA from 1 species
GUCUAUGAUCAUAACACCCAGAACUCAUCCGAUCUCAUCUGAUCUCAGAUGCUAAGCAGGACUGGUCCUUGUUAGUACUUGGAUGGAAGAAAUCCAAUUAAUACAGGAG